rnacentral:rRNA from 1 species
AUUGAACGCUGGCGGCAGGCCUAACACAUGCAAGUCGAGCGGGGUUUUCGGACCUGGCGGCGGACGGGUGAGUCAUGCGUAGGAAGCUGCCCGAUAGUGGGGGAUACCAGUUGGAAACGACUGUUAAUACCGCAUAAUGUCUACGGACCAAAGUGUGAGACCUUCGGGCCACAUGCUAUCGGCUGCGCCUACGUGGGAUUAGCUAGUUGGUGAGGUAAUGACUCACCACGGCGACGAUCCGUAACUGGUCUAAGAGGAUGAUCAGUCACUCUGCAGCGGAGACACGGUCCAGAGUCCUACGGGAGGCAGCAGUGGGGGAUAUUGGACAUUGGUCGAAAGCCUUAUCCAGCCAUGCCGCGUGUGUGAAGAAGGUCUUCGGAUUGUAAAGCACUUUAAGUUGGGAGGAAGAGUCGUUACCUAAUACGUGACGAUUUUGACGUUACCGACAGAAUAAGCACCGGCUAACUCUGAGCCAGCAGCCGCCGUAAGAC